GGGCGAUUGGUUUAGGGGUAUAAUGUCUGCUUCGCAUGCGGAAGGUCCAGGGUUCGAUUCCCUGAUCGUCCA